rnacentral:rRNA from 1 species
AGAGUUUGAUCCUGGCUCAGGAUGAACGCUAGCUACAGGCUUAACACAUGCAAGUCGAGGGGCAGCAUGGUCUUAGCUUGCUAAGGCUGAUGGCGACCGGCGCACGGGUGAGUAACACGUAUCCAACCUGCCGUCUACUCUUGGCCAGCCUUCUGAAAGGAAGAUUAAUCCAGGAUGGGAUCAUGAGUUCACAUGUCCGCAUGAUUAAAGGUAUUUUCCGGUAGACGAUGGGGAUGCGUUCCAUUAGAUAGUAGGCGGGGUAACGGCCCACCUAGUCAACGAUGGAUAGGGGUUCUGAGAGGAAGGUCCCCCACAUUGGAACUGAGACACGGUCCAAACUCCUACGGGAGGCAGCAGUGAGGAAUAUUGGUCAAUGGGCGAUGGCCUGAACCAGCCAAGUAGCGUGAAGGAUGACUGCCCUAUGGGUUGUAAACUUCUUUUAUAAAGGAAUAAAGUCGGGUAUGCAUACCCGUUUGCAUGUACUUUAUGAAUAAGGAUCGGCUAACUCCGUGCCAGCAGCCGCGGUAAUACGGAGGAUCCGAGCGUUAUCCGGAUUUAUUGGGUUUAAAGGGAGCGUAGGCGGAUUGUUAAGUCAGUUGUGAAAGUUUGCGGCUCAACCGUAAAAUUGCAGUUGAUACUGGCUGUCUUGAGUACAGUAGAGGUGGGCGGAAUUCGUGGUGUAGCGGUGAAAUGCUUAGAUAUCACGAAGAACUCCGAUUGCGAAGGCAGCCUGCUAAGCUGCAACUGACAUUGAGGCUCGAAAGUGUGGGUAUCAAACAGGAUUAGAUACCCUGGUAGUCCACACGGUAAACGAUGAAUACUCGCUGUUUGCGAUAUACGGCAAGCGGCCAAGCGAAAGCGUUAAGUAUUCCACCUGGGGAGUACGCCGGCAACGGUGAAACUCAAAGGAAUUGACGGGGGCCC